UAAUGCCUCCUCCACAUUGGCUGCCAGGGCCCUGAUGUCAGAGACGUCAGCUGGAGCGGAUUGGGCGGAUGCGAGUUCGAGAAUCCGGCUCCCGAGUCUAGCUCUCCAGUUACUCUGGCAACAGGGCAAGCAACCCCCGGGGAAAAGAGGAGCGAAGCUUAGCGCUGCACCAGGGUCUUGCCUCCCUCCAAACCACAGCUGAAUCCGUUUCGGUGGCAGCUCGCUGCCUCCUUCCUCCCAGGUUCUCCCUGUCCCAAGAACCAGGUGUCUUGCCUUCGACCUUCCCCAGUCUUCCAGCUCCCACACUCGCCAACUCCCACCCCAAGUGACAGCCACAAGCCACAUUAAAUUGGAAGCGAAUCUGAGUUGCUUAGUAACCAACCCGCAGGUCCCUUCCCCUCUAUUUACCCCAGCCUGCGAAGGCGGAGACUGAGUCCCCAGUCCCCUCCCCAUCCUAUUCCCUUUGCCCUCCCGCCCACAAUUUCCUGUAAGAGGCCGAGAUGACAGGAAGCCGAAAGAGCACCUCAACCCACCUUUCCCUCCCGCCUGGGCGAGGGGCUUCGGCAGCUUUCACGGCCCUAUUUCCCACUUCACUUCCCUCAGCUCAGGCUGCGCGUCUCGCCCACGCCAUCUCGUGGCUACGUCCGGAAGGUUCAGCACCAACAAGGGCCCCAGCCCGGCAAGGAUUAGGAAUGGGAGAGGGCAGAGUGGGGCAGGAUCAGAGAUGAGGAGACAAGCGGGGUGAGGCCGAGUGAACGGAGAUGAGGUGCGGGGAAGUGAAUGGGGCGAAGGCCACCGCACGGAGGCUAUUGGGACUCUUGGUGUGAGGAUCAGGGCUGACGCUAUACUCCUCACCCGUGGGAAGUACUGAAGGGAAACUCGAAGUGGUCCCGGGACUGGAGACACAUCCCUGCAUGACCACGUACUGGCCAACGCACAGAUCUAUGCAAACUGUGACCUUUUAGUCCUGCCCUUUAGUUAGGGACCGCCGUGCCCCGCCCUGCCCUAGUGUUGAGAAGGGGAAUCCCAGCCCACGGCAGACUGGGAGUCCUUUCAGGGCCCUCUUGACAUCUGGAAUCCAAGCCAUCCGCCUCCCAGCUCUUCCCUCCCCCUCAUCCUGCUCUCUUCUAGGGGAUCCAGUCUCCUGCGCCUAUCUUCUUCCCAGUGCCUUUGCGGAGACCCAAACGUCCAUCCCCAGCUCUACUACUGCGACUCAGGCGUCCCGCCCCCCAGAGCGAAGAUGGUUUCCCUCUUUCCAGACGCCCUCGCGGGUCCCCGUUACCUGAUUCUAGGGCGUCUCAGGCCGGAAAUGGAUCGUGGGCAUGAGACAGACAAGCUGCAUGGGCUCUGCCUCCACCAAGCAGGAGUUCUUCCGGUCCCAGCCAGCACCCUCCAGCACCCUCUUCCACCAGACCCGCAUUUGCUUAGAGCCCCAAGCACAGCUGGCUCCCACCUUGGGUGGAUACACUAGGUUGCUGUCAUCCACAGUGGAAACAAUAAACUCCCAAGAGAGGCUGUCCACUGAAAUCUGGGGAUCGAAAGUGAGAAUAAGAGAAGACCCUGAAGAGGAGAGCAAAAUACAUGUCCCCAGCAUCCAAUCCCCAUUACAUUUUCCACAUGGCUCACAUU